UCCACAGUGUCACAGGGACUGAAGAGAGUAUCAGAGUGAGAUUACAACAGAGCCAAGCGAUGCACAGCAUAAUCCUUUUCCCACUUCUUGUGUAUAAGGUGCAUGUGUCUCCAAGGUGCCAUGAGUAGAACACAGAAGUUGAAUGAUGAUACCCGCUUUUUUUCUUUUUUAACAAUAUUGAUGGUGAAGGCAUAACAACAACAACAAAAACAAAGGAGAAUACAGCCAAUCUCUGUGAGGUCAUGCCAUGUGCACCUGCUCUGUAGACAUGAAGUUGAUUGUGGUGGGGUGAUCGGUGAUACCUGGCCUUGAGUAUGCUGAGAAGGAGUAAAGCCUGGAAAACAAGGAACAAAUCAAGAAAUCCACUGAUGAGAUCGUGUUAAAGAGCUAGGAAAAGAACUUCGUUUUGAAGUCUAAUAUAUGUUCUAUUUGAAAGAACUGCUACUGGUGUCUGAGAAUAAUUAACAACACACUUUAAUUUAUGAACGCCUGUGCUCAAAGGUCCUCAUCCGUGGGAGGGGUAGAGAGAGAAAGAAAGACUGGGAGGCUAAUGGAAAACUUCAUGUCCUUGUGCUCAGCUCUGGUGCAGAAUCCGAGAGUGGUAUUGAAGAGGCCAGAGGAACACUGCAGAGCUCCGUUUUACAUAUGUGCAUUAUAAAUCGGUAACCUCCAUAUUUUAGGUCUUAGGCAACAGUCUCUCUCCUCCAGUGACUAUGAUUUAAGAAUAACAAUGUGACAAGAACAUUGAGAUGAGAGGAUAAGUGAAUAAAGAAAAAGGAUGGUGGUGAAUAAUUAAAAGGAGGGGGAGAGAGGAGGAGGAUCAAGAAACUGACUCAUGGGGGAGCAGAAUGUAUUCAUCUUUUCUUUGUCUUCUCCAUGCACUGUACCUCUCAACUGGGAAAGCAGAUGUCUUGGAUGCUCAAAGGAAAUAAAGGUGGCAAUUAAAU